AGAAAGAACCCACUGGACCCUCUCCCCCUCCCCCCCAUCCAUCAGGGGUGCUAAAGCACCGGGCCCACUACCCUUGCCUGUCUCGAUUGUUGGGACUCUUAGGCAGGCCAGACUCCACCAGCCGCCGGCCCAGAGAAAGAGUUUGCGGUGGAGAACCACAGAAGGCCCAGCCACGGCGCUAGCAAACUGGUAAAUAAAAUACAUUAUUUUUAUACCUACCAUGCAAAACGGCAACAAAGCUUAAAAAUAUCUGUAAGGCUAUAGUUUUUUUCUUGACUGAUAGUUGGCAAAAUGUUAAAUAUCACUGAAUUUAAAUAUGAUUGUUGCAUGUCUGGGUGAUCUUCUGAUGAGCUGGCGAUGUGCGGAUAACUAAUAAGUUUAAUAGAUCUUAUAUAAAUAUGUCACAAUAAAUUAUAUAGUUUUUACAUACGUUUUAUUUUUCUUGCCUUAUUUCAGCUCAGCCACCAUGUUAUAAUUAAGAUUUUCACACCACUGAUGCUCACUUGAUAAUAAAGAUAAACAGGAUUAAAAUACAUUAUACAGCUUUGUGCCCAAUAACCCGCCAGGGGCUUCCAACACUCCGGAUUAGUCGUCCAGUGGAGACAUCUUUGCAAGUGGAUGGGCCUGCUUUGUUGUGUGCCUUCCAGUUGUCCUUGGGGAUAUUCUGAACUCCUGAAGGACAGGGAGGGUCCCCAAGAUAUGGAAGGAAACUCCGCAGAGU
rnacentral:lncRNA from 12 species